GAUGAACGCUGGCGGCGUGCCUAAUACAUGCAAGUCGAGCGAACAGACGAGGAGCUUGCUCCUCUGACGUUAGCGGCGGACGGGUGAGUAACACGUGGAUAACCUACCUAUAAGACUGGGAUAACUUCGGGAAACCGGAGCUAAUACCGGAUAAUAUAUUGAACCGCAUGGUUCAAUAGUGAAAGACGGUUUUGCUGUCACUUAUAGAUGGAUCCGCGCCGCAUUAGCUAGUUGGUAAGGUAACGGCUUACCAAGGCGACGAUGCGUAGCCGACCUGAGAGGGUGAUCGGCCACACUGGAACUGAGACACGGUCCAGACUCCUACGGGAGGCAGCAGUAGGGAAUCUUCCGCAAUGGGCGAAAGCUUGACGGAGCAACGCCGCGUGAGUGAUGAAGGUCUUCGGAUCGUAAAACUCUGUUAUUAGGGAAGAACAAAUGUAUAAGUAACUAUGCACGUCUUGACGGUACCUAAUCAGAAAGCCACGGCUAACUACGUG
rnacentral:rRNA from 1 species